rnacentral:lncRNA from 1 species
AAUACCUGGGGAAAAAGAGCCAAAGGUUUCCAGUGCCUCCUCUCCAAGGUCAUGGCAUUUCCUGGGUCAGCCAGCAGUGAGGGGCUGGGCUGAGCUGCCCAUCUGGGAGACCCAGCAAGAGGCAACAGGAGGCAGCUGAGCAGGAGGUGGGCAGACCACAGAGCACCUGGGGGGACUGCAGCAGGCGUCAGGCCCCUCCGUAGGCAAAGGGAAGGGGACAGACCAGUGCUUCUUAAAGCAAAUCUCCACCAAGUCUCUCCCAAGUACUAGGCAUCUGCUGAGCCCUGGCAGCAUCCCCACAAAACUGCGAGGAGGCAGAUAUCACAGACAUCCGCUCUCCUGGUGAAGGAGCCAAGGCUCCCAGAGGAUAGAAGUCAUGUUCAAGUGGACAUGCUAGGACUCGAAUCCAGGUUUUCAAACUCCACAGUGCCACCACUUCCCCAGGGGGCAGGGGCAGAACCCCAAGGCCAGGCAGGAACCAGGAGGGGACUCAGGCAUGAGGAACUGUCCAAACUCCUGCCUCUGGAAUUAGAGAACAAGGCAGAGGCUUCGAAUCUCAGAGCAGGUCCAAAUCUCCAUGUCCCAGCCAGGCCUGGGGCUCCUGAAAUUCCUCAUGCUGUCAUCAGCUCAGGGCACAAGGGCUAGCCAGUGAGAAGAGGCUCAUUCUCAAAGAGAUCUUCUCUCCUUCCAGGAAUCUCCACUCUUUGGACCACUGCGCACUCAGGGGGCCCUCCCAUGUCACUUGCACACUGCCAGUAACAGAGGACUCACUCCCUCUGAAUGCAUUCCACUUGCAAUCUUGGUUUCGAGGGAAACAUAACCAGGGGUAGGGAGGAUUAUGCUCCAUGGGGAAGUGCUGAGGUGGUCUCCAAAGCACCUGUCCUCUCCAGCCCUCUUCCCUCAGCUUCCAGAUAACCAAGCACAAUGCCCAGAUUGGAAAUCAUUAUCUACUAAAGAUACAUGCUCCCAGCAAGUGCUAGAUCCCAGGGCUGGCUCGUGAUUCCCAUCUGCCUAACUGGAAAAUCAUCCACUCUCGAGCGCCCUCACUUCCCCAGCAUGGGCUGCUACAGACUUCCACUCUCAGCUCCCUAAGAAGUUUGACUCAGCCUGUGACCUUGGGCCAAUCGCUCCCAUCCUCCAGGCCUCAGUGUCCACAUCUGUCAAAUGGAGGAACAACCUCUAAAUGUGUUACCUUCCAACUGGCACAGAUCCCCGGACUGUCAUCUUCUCAAUGGGUGGAGAUAGACCAGGCCAGCUGGGCCCCUGGCUAAGGCAGGGAUGGAAGCACAGAUCCCAGGCCCAUCCUGGUGCCCGUUUCAUCAAUGCCUGCUUUGUCUGGAGCUCACAGCAAGCAGCUGGGUCUGAGAGUCCGUGGAAGCAGGAAAAAUUCUGACUCAUCUCAAUGCAAACCUCCUAUUCUACACAUGAGGAAAAGUGAGACUGGGUGAGAUAGAGACUCUAUCCCCUACUCAAGCAGCAGAACCCAGAACACCAUUCCCGACUACCCCACUGAAGCUAGAUUGCCAUCACUUGGCAUCAAAGCCCUCCACAAUGAUGAGAGCCUUCCACCUGGCCACCUUCAUCACAUGGUGGUCCUGGGUCCUGACAUGGCCCUGGCCUCCUAGGCCCCUUCAGAUGCAGCCACUGAGUCUGAGGCUGAUCUUGAGGAUGCUGUUUCCUCUCUUACAGAUCACUGAAUACUCCACAGAUCACUGACACCCACCUGAAUACUCCAUAAGCAAAGAAAGUGAGGUCAGAGGCCGUUUUGCAGUCAGAUACUGAAACCCAGGAGACGAAACACCUGUUCAUAACCCUUCAUUCCCCCAAACACCGAGAGCUGUCCCGUGCUUUGGGGAACCCAAGGGGAGGGAAGAAGCAGAGAGAGAACAAAGGGGACUCUGGACCCAGUCUGUUCCCCAAACAGUGACCCCAGCCCCCAGCCCUGCCUGCCUGUUUGGAAUCACACCUCCUGCCAUCUGCCACCUGUCUGCCCCCUGCCACAGCAGGUGCUUGGAGAGCAGAGAGAGCAGGGUUCACUCCCAUUUUGUUACUCAUGAUCUGUGAGACCUUGGGUGAGUCUUUGAACCUGUCAGAGGCUCGGAUUCCUCAUUUGUGAGUGGGGAUGACAGGCCUUUCUCACCUGCUUUCACAUCCUACCCACGGGAAAGCUCUGAGCAGGAAGCACGGGCCCAGCCAUGCUUUGCUCCUUUCCUCUUUCCUCCCCUUGACCUCUAAGGAGAGAACUCAGAAGGCAAGGACCCCUGCAUGAGUGUGCGAAGGGCAAGGAUCAGGUCUGAGUCUCUCACUACCUGCCCCCCACCCCAUCUCCAGCACAGCCUCUACACAGAAAAGGAAGUCAGCAAAAAUCAUGGGGCGCUUCCGCUCCCCAGACAUCUGCCACAGGCACAUUCCAUAAAAAGCAGGUGUUUAGGAUUCUAAACUCUCAGCAGGACACAUUAGGACAAAUCCAGAGAGCAGAACAGGCAUCCCAGAGAAAAAUCUGGGCCUGAUGGUGACCUACGAGCUCCCUUGCUGCCUAAUAAGCCAGUGGAAUCACUGAAUAGAAGGGGCUUCUUAUGGUUCCCUUGCUUGCCCACACAUUAGAAUCACCUGGGAGCUCCUAGGACUCCCAAUGUCUGAUUGUUCCCCCAAAUCAAUUAAAUCAGAACACCUCGGGGGAGGAGCUAGGCAUCAGCAUGUUUUAGGGUCCCCAGAUGAUUCCAAUAUGAUGCAAACUUUUCGGCCACUGGGCUAUAGGACAAGUUAGUGACUGUGGGCAGCCAGCCAAGAUUUGACCUCGCUCAGAGUGCGUUCUUAUCCCUCGCCCCUUCUGGUCCUCAUCUGUCAGCUCAGGGGCCACAUUAUUACACCCACUGUACAGAUGAGGAAAGUGAAACCUAGGAUGUUGCCAUAUCUCCUAAGACAAUCAGAGAUGGAGCUGCAACUGUUAGGGAAGAGAGCCCAAUCUCUGGACCCUUAAAGUUGGGCUCUUCCUACACUGACACAGCCACAGUAGGCCCUUGGAGAUCAUCACAAAGAGACCAGGACCCUAACUUCCCAGCCUUUCCUGGGAGGAGGCUCUGAUGGUGGUGGGGAGAGCAGAGAAGGAGGGUGCCUGAGGAAGACAGGGAGUGGGGGCUGCAGGCUGGAUAUAGGCCAGCAUGCUGGGCCAACUCGCGCCUGGUCCUCCGUAGGCUCUGGCUCCAACCCAGCAACCUCUCCCCCUCCGACUUCAUCCUGUGGUGUGUGAGGGUCUGUUCUGGGGUGGUGAGGCCCAGACAUUACCUCUUUAUCUGAAUCUUUCCUGACAUCCCUCCGAUAACAAAGAAGGUGGCUCAAUAGGGAGAUUUACCAGGGAUUUAAGAUUCUUCCUCUAGGUCUGUGUUGGAAACACCAACGUCCACAUAAAGCCCAAGGCACCAUCAGUGGGGAAAUCAGAGGGGCCCACAGCAGCUCUGGGGGCUGGCUUAGCUCCCACCAUCCCUUGCAAUCUUUGAAGACUGCCAGCAGCCAUGUGUCCAGCCCCCAGCCCAUCCAUUUCAGGGGAAUGAGAAAAGGCGAGGAGACCAGCCAAGUUACAUAGCACAGGAUGAUGCACUGCUUUGCAGUCACUCAGACUGGAAUUCAAAUCCCAGCUCUGUGGUGCCCUUUUGCUGCGUGACCUUGGACGAGCUGCUUUAACCCCUCCAAGCCUUGGAGCUCUCAUGGAUAAAAUGGUGGUAAUAACGAUCGUCACCUCAAGGUAGUUGUGGGACUGGGAUUAAAUAACAUCCGUGCUGGCUAUGGGCCCCUGGAUAUGUUAUUUUGCUUUCCUGUGCCUCAGCUAACCCAUCUAUAAAAUGGGAACAAUAACACUUAUUCAUAGAGGCAGAGAGAAUGAAAUUGAUGAAAUGAGUCAAUCUACAUAAAGUGGUUAGAACAAUGUCUGGCGUACCUCAAGGACUCCAUCACUGCUCCCUGUUACAGCGUUCCUAGCAUGAGGCCUGACACACAGUAGUGCCUUCUGAAGCGCCUGCUUCCUCCCUCCCCUUCCAGGCACUUUUGGGAUGUGGCCGAGUGCAGUCAGCUGCCUUCCUCUGAUGCCUGGUGCUGGCUCUUGGCCAACUCCUUAAAAAACUGGAAGCAGUGACUACUUUCUCUUCUCCCUUUUCAUAAAGAGAUCGCAGAACAGAGGCACUGACCUUGGGCAACCUUGCACCGCAGUGUUUUCCAAAAGACAAA